rnacentral:lncRNA from 1 species
UCUUAACCUUAGCUUCCCUCUGAGAUGGAAGACUGGGAUCCUAGGAAGCUGGUGCACAGAACCCAUUUUCUCUUGAGCAUCAUGAGAAUGGUUAACCUGGAUCCCUAGCUUAAAGAUAACCAGAGUCGCCACAGCCUCUGCCAGGACCUGGGUUCCAGCCUCUGGUUUGCCAUGAAGAAUCUGCGGGUAACAUCCCUGAGCUUUCCAAAACUGGCCUCUCCCUACGUGAGCUCGUAUGUUCUGCUGCAGCCCUCUAUGCACCUCUGAGGCCGUCCUCCUGUUCAUCACUGUCUCAAUGGUGCUGGUUCUUGUCUUUUCUGGCCUAAAUGUACCUCAAGGUGAAAGAACAGAGAGGCAAGGCUGGAGGAUUUCUGUGGGCCUGGAGUUCCUCAACCUUCCUGGGGACUCAUAGAUACGGUGCUUUUACAAAUCUGUAAUACACUCCAGUGCAUCAUUAUAAAACUACAUCUCUUAUCGUGGGUCAGUCAAAUCUCUGAAGGGACACUUGUUCCUUCUAAGUAAGCUCCAUCUGGCAUUGGAAUUCAGCUUCUCAGAAGACACUGAAGAAAAUGUCAGCAUGAUUUAAUACCUCAGCAAAAGAUCCAAGGGAGCAACAUUGAGAACAAUUACAUGGAUUCGGACCUCACCACAUGGAGUCUUCCAUGAUCUGUGCUCAUUCCCCAUGAGUCACUUGGACUCCUCAGUUUGCAUUGCUGUCAUGAGACAACCUCAUGCCCCCUGAGUUUAACAUGGCUAGCCUGAACUAUGUGAUAGUCUCUGGGUCUAGAAGAAACAAGGACAUGUUCAUGCUGGCUAUGCCCACUGCUUGAGAAGCUCUGUGGUGGUUUGAAUAGGUUUGACCUCCACAGAUUCAUGUGUUUCAAUGUGUGGCUGUGGGGAGUGGCACUAUUAGGAGGUAUGGCCUUGUUGGAGUAGGUAUGGCUUUGUUUGAGGAAGUGUGUCACUGUGUAGAUGGGCUUUGAGGUCUCCUAUUCUCAAGCUCUGCCCGGUGUGGAAUCAGAAACUCUGCCUGGCUGCCUUCAGAAGACAGUCCCCUUCUGCUGCCUGCAGAUCAAGAUAGCUCCUCCAGCACCAUGUCUGCCUGCAUGCUCCAUGCUUCCCACCAUGAUGAAAAUGGAUUAAACCUCUGGCACUGUAAGCCAGCCCCAAUUAAAUGUUUGCCUUUAUAAGAGUUGCCUUGGUCAUGGUGUCUCC